rnacentral:rRNA from 1 species
GAUGAACGCUGGCGGCGUGCCUAAUACAUGCAAGUCGAGCGAACAGAUGAGGAGCUUGCUCCUCUGACGUUAGCGGCGGACGGGUGAGUAACACGUGGAUAACCUACCUAUAAGACUGGGAUAACUUCGGGAAACCGGAGCCAAUACCGGAUAAUAUAUUGAACCGCAUGGUUCAAUAGUGAAAGACGGUUUUGCUGUCACUUAUAGAUGGAUCCGCGCCGCAUUAGCUAGUUGGUAAGGUAACGGCUUACCAAGGCAACGAUGCGUAGCCGACCUGAGAGGGUGAUCGGCCACACUGGAACUGAGACACGGUCCAGACUCCUACGGGAGGCAGCAGUAGGGAAUCUUCCGCAAAGGGCGAAAGCCUGACGGAGCAACGCCGCGUGAGUGAUGAAGGUCUUCGGAUCGUAAAACUCUGUUAUUAGGGAAGAACAAAUGUGUAAGUAACUAUGCACGUCUUGACGGUACCUAAUCAGAAAGCCACGGCUAACUACGUG